rnacentral:rRNA from 1 species
UCUACGGGUGGCAGCAGUGAGGAAUAUUGGUCAAUGGACGAGAGUCUGAACCAGCCAAGUAGCGUGAAGGAUGAAGGUGCCAAGCAUUGUAAACUUCUUUUGUCAAGGGACAAAAUCAGGCUCGAGAGCCUGACCGAGGGUACUUGAAGAAAAAGCAUCGGCUAACUCCGUGCCAGCAGCAGCGGUAAUACGGAGGAUGCGAGCGUUAUCGGGAUUUAUUGGGUUAAAAGGGUGCGUAGGCGGACUGUUAAGUCAGCGGUAAAAGCCCGGGGCCCAACCCCGGCGAGCCGUUGAAACUGGCUGUCUUGAGAUGUCGAGAGGUAUGCGGAAUGCGCAGUGUAGCGGUGAAAUGCUUAGAUAUUGCGCAGAACUCCGAUUGCGAAGGCAGCAUACCGGCGGCGAUCUGACGCUGAGGCACGAAAGCGUGGGUAUCGAACAGGAUUAGAUACCCUUGUAGUC